AGUAUCAUGGGAUGAAACCUUGAAAGAAUCUGAGGAAACCUUUUGACAGAGUGCUUAUUUUCCUAUGAAUCAGAAGGCAUUUAUAUUCUGAUGCU
rfam:Triticum aestivum genome assembly, contig: Triticum_aestivum_CS42_TGACv1_scaffold_195704_3AL